rnacentral:rRNA from 1 species
AACGAACGCUGGCGGCAGGCCUAACACAUGCAAGUCGAGCGGACCCUUCGGGGUUAGCGGCGGACGGGUGAGUAACGCGUGGGAACGUGCCCUUUGCUUCGGAAUAGCCCUGGGAAACUGGGAGUAAUACCGGAUACGCCCUUUUGGGGAAAGAUUUAUCGGCGAAGGAUCGGCCCGCGUUGGAUUAGGUAGUUGGUGGGGUAAUGGCCUACCAAGCCGACGAUCCAUAGCUGGUUUGAGAGGAUGAUCAGCCACACUGGGACUGAGACACGGCCCAGACUCCUACGGGAGGCAGCAGUGGGGAAUCUUAGACAAUGGGGGAAACCCUGAUCUAGCCAUGCCGCGUGAGCGAUGAAGGCCUUAGGGUUGUAAAGCUCUUUCACCGGGGAAGAUAAUGACGGUACCAGCAGAAGAAGCCCCGGCUAACUCCGUG